rnacentral:rRNA from 1 species
UACGUAGGCAGCAAGCGUUGUUCGGAAUUACUGGGCGUAAAGAGUGUGUAGGCGGUGCUCUAAGUCUGUUGUGAAAUCUCCCGGCUUAACUGGGAGGGUGCGGCGGAGACUGGAGUGCUAGAGUGUGGGAGAGGUAAGCGGAAUUCCUGGUGUAGCGGUGAAAUGCGUAGAUAUCAGGAGGAACACCCGUGGCGAAAGCGGCUCUCUGGGACGGUACUGACGCUCAGGCGCGAAAGCGUGGGGAGCAAACAGG